GGGGCCGAUACGGUUUUCGACGGAGGCGUUUCGUGGAUUACGGUCGGCGUGCCGGGGGAUGAUGCGACAACCGUCAUCAAUCGCAUCGAACGAAUAAUCGCCAAGAAUAUUCGCGCUUUCGCCCUCGCCGCCUAGCGGCGGGGCGCAUGGCCGGCGUCCGGGCCACGGUAAACCAAUCGGACGCGCCACCAACCCCAAGCCGGUCGCGGCGGUGAACCGGGGAGGACACUUCAGCCGCCGCCCCACCCCGGACGGGUCAGAGCCGGGAACGCCCCAUAGGGGGCUACGCACGUAGAGGACCAUUCCAUCAUGUUUCCGGACGCGGGUUCGACUCCCGCCGGCUCCAC
rnacentral:tmRNA from 1 species